CACGUAGGGCGCAAGCGUUGUCCGGAAUUAUUGGGCGUAAAGAGCUCGUAGGCGGUCUGUUGCGUCUGCUGUGAAAACCCGGGGCUUAACCCCUGGCUUGCAGUGGAUACGGACAGACUAGAGGUAGGUAGGGGAGAAUGGAAUUCCCGGUGUAGCGGUGAAAUGCGCAGAUAUCAGGAAGAACACCCGUGGCGAAGGCGGCUCUCUGGUACGUGACUGACGCUGAGACGCGAAAGCGUGGGGAGCGAACAGG
rnacentral:rRNA from 1 species